AUGAUUUUUCAUCGAAUAUGAAACCAAGAGUUGAUCCAUGAGUUACCAGAGAAGGUUUUUUAGGUUUGUUGUGCUCCUCAUUACAUACCCAGAGUACUUUUCUCAACAGACCUGAUGCCACAUGCACUGCUUGGACUCUUCAUAGCAAAGUUCUCCUUAGAAGAAACUGAACUUUGUUCUCUUUUAAAUGUAUAUAUUUGUAGAAGGGAAAAUAUUUAUGCUUCUACUUGGGGGACGUUUUAUGGCUAAUUGUCCUAUUAUAUCUACAGAUUUUUUCCUGUUUGAAAUUUUGAAUUUCAGUGCUAUUCUCAGCUGAUUGUUG
rnacentral:misc_RNA from 1 species